UUUGUUGACCACCUUUGGGCUGGUUAUUGUUUCCACUACCCUUCUGGUUUUGAUUCUGACCCUUGUUGUUGUUAUUUCCACCACCUUUGCCAUUAUCAAUUUGCAUGUUCUUUAACUGAUUAACAAGGUUGUUCUGAUUAUUAUUGUUGUUGUUGUUUGGUUUGGGAACACUCCAUAACUGAGCAUGUUUCCCAGAUUUUGCAAGCUUCUUGAUGAGAACAUUUGGGUCCACAUUCCCUGAAACUGUGACCUUCCCUUGUUCUGCAUCUAUCUCAGUUGUAAAUACUCCUGUCAUUACAAAACCCAUAUUCAACAUUUACUCUCAAAAUUAAGGCACUGUUUUGGAUAGUAAUAGUAAUAAUUGAAAGCUAUAAUUAAGGUUCUGUAAAUAAAUCACAAUAAUAUUAAGUGCAUACAAACAUACCAUCAAUUUUCUGUAAGAUUUUCUUUACUUUAUGUUUACAUCCAUCACAGUGUAUGUUCACUUUUAGAACAGAUUUCUGCAUAUAUACACAGAAAAUUAGGAUAAGUAAUAAAUAAUAUAUGAGACAAAACAAAAUUUAGAAAUGUACAAAACAUAAAAGCAAAAAAAAAAUAAAGAAAGAUGGAGAAUGUGAUGGGAGUGAGUACCUGUAUCUUCAAAAAUUCUUCUUUACUCAUGACCAAUAGGAAUAAAGUUUGUAACUUGUGAUAAAUAAAGAUCUGGGCUAUAGAGAAAAAUGGUGAUUAUAGAUCUGAGGAAACGAAAGGAAAAUGGAGUUUUUUUUCUUUCUUGUUUGGUGUAGUUUUAUUUGGUUUUAGAAUGGAAAUGAAAUGAAAAUAGAAGCAAAAUGAGAGAAAUAAAUAGUUUAGAAGAGUCUCUUUGAGAGUUAGGAAGAGAGAGAAUGGUGAGUAGUAGUAGUAGUCAUUGAGAGAGAAUGGGGUAAGUGUUCCAAGAGUUUGCUCUAUGUUUGGUGUCUUUAUUUAUUGAUGUAUUUUACUACACAAGUGAGUGACUUCACUGUGUAUACUAGUAUAAUUUUUUCAACAAUUUAACUCUAUUUUCCUUUUCUCUUUCUAUUUUUUUUUUUUUUUUUUUGUCUUAGCUUGACUUGAAGACUGUGAGGUGGAAAUGCUGAAAAAUCAUCAUAAAUCACAAUGAUGCAAGAGUGGAGGUGGAGAGAGACAGGAAGUGCUAGUAGUAAGUACAUCAUAUCUGAUGUGAGAUUUGUUUUCUUUAAAGUUCUAGUAAUUAUG
rnacentral:lncRNA from 1 species